CACGUAGGGCGCAAGCGUUGUCCGGAAUUAUUGGGCGUAAAGAGCUCGUAGGCGGUCUGUUGCGUCUGCUGUGAAAACCCGGGGCUUAACCCCUGGCUUGCAGUGGAUACGGACAGACUAGAGGUAGGUAGGGGAGAAUGGAAUUCCCGGUGUAGCGGUGAAAUGCGCAGAUAUCAGGAGGAACACCGGUGGCGAAGGCGGUUCUCUGGGCAUUACCUGACGCUGAGGAGCGAAAGUGUGGGGAGCAAACAGG
rnacentral:rRNA from 1 species